rnacentral:rRNA from 1 species
GUAGGGUGCGAGCGUUAAUCGGAAUUACUGGGCGUAAAGCGUGCGCAGGCGGUUCGCCAAGUCAGGUGUGAAAUCCCCGGGCUUAACCUGGGAAUUGCGCUUGAAACUAGCGGGCUUGAGUGUGGCAGAGGGGGGUGGAAUUCCACGUGUAGCAGUGAAAUGCGUAGAGAUGUGGAGGAACACCGAUGGCGAAGGCAGCCCCCUGGGUCAACACUGACGCUCAUGCACGAAAGCGUGGGGAGCAAACAGGAUUAGAUACCCUGGUAGUCCACGCCCUAAACGAUGUCGACUAGGUGUUGGGGAAGGAGACUUCCUUAGUACCGCAGCUAACGCGUGAAGUCGACCGCCUGGGGAGUACGGUCGCAAGAUUA